rnacentral:rRNA from 1 species
AUUGAACGCUGGCGGCAGGCCUAACACAUGCAAGUCGAGCGCGCGGCGGACGGGUGAGUAAUGUAUGGGGACUGCCCGAUAGAGGGGGAUAACUACUGGAAACGGUAGCUAAUACCGCAUACUAUCGGAUAACCCAUAUGGGAUUAGCUAGUAGGUUAGGUAAUGGCUCACCUGGGCGACGAUCCCUAGCUGGUCUGAGAGGAUGAUCAGCGAGACUGGGACUGAGCUACGGCCCAGACUCCUACGGAGGCAGCAGUGGGGAAUAUUGCACAAUGGGCGCAAGCCGGAUGCAGCCAUGCCGCGUGUAUGAAGAAGGCCCUAGGGUUGUAAAGUACUUUCAGUCGGGAGGCGUUACCGACAGAAGAAGCGCCGGCUAACUACGUGCCAGCAGCCGCGGUAAUAC